rnacentral:rRNA from 1 species
GACGAACGCUGGCGGCGUGCUUAACACAUGCAAGUCGAACGGAAAGGCCCUGCUUUUGUGGGGUGCUCGAGUGGCGAACGGGUGAGUAACCCGUGAGUAACCUGCCCUUGACUUUGGGAUAACUUCAGGAAACUGGGGCUAAUACCGGAUAGGAGCUCCUGCUGCAUGGUGGGGGUUGGAAAGCUUCGGCGGUUGGGGAUGGACUCGCGGCUUAUCAGCUUGGUGGUGGGGUAGUGGCUUACCAAGGCUUUGACGGGUAGCCGGCCUGAGAGGGUGACCGGGCACAUGGGGACUGAGGUAGGGCCCAGACUCCUACGGGAGGCAGCAGUGGGGAAUAUGGCACAAUGGGCGGAAGCCUGAUGCAGCAACGCCGCGUGCGGGAUGACGGCCUUCGGGUUGUAAACCGCUUUCGCCUGUGACGAAGCGUGAGUGACGGUAAUGGGUAAAGAAGCACCGGCUAACUACGUG